CUGUUGGCUCUGUUUCUUUGGAGACCCCUGACUAAUACAUGAAGUAAAGGACUAGGAGGCUGAGAAUUUGCACAUUUACUGAACCUGCAAGAACUUGGGAGCCCAUAGUACUCUUGAUGCCACUGGACUCCCUGCUGAGACUUCUGAAUUCUAUGGCUCUCUGUGACUACUGCUGGAUCCAGAAACAGAAAAUGGGAAAAAAUAGCUUCUCUCUUCCUCUUGCCUUCUGGUCUUUCUCCAAGACCUGCCUAUGGAAAAAAUCUAACUGGAAGCCACCUAGUUAGGAAACUUGGGAACCUAGUUUGUGAAUUUUUAGCACCUUGCAAUAUAGAGACUAUUAAAGGGCAGGAAUUAAAGCUAAAAGUUACCUUU